AUAGUCCGCUAUUCUGCAGUGAUUUUCUUCCAAUCCAGUAUCAUUUGUACGUUGCAGCAUCAUCGAACACUAUGACCCAUGAAUCAGAAGAUAACGUAGAUGCUACGAGAGAGCUCAUUUCACAAUGGACAACAGAAGUGUUACGUGACUUUCUACAAGGAGGGGACUCAAGCUUGGAAAUCGAGUACCGGUAGUCAUUAUUUUAUGGGUGUUCUCUGCCUUGACUCUGGGGGUACUGUUCAGCCAUCCGAGGUAGAGAUAAACUGGACGAUGGAUGGAGAGGGGGGGGGGGGGGGGGGGGGGGGGGGCGGAGAAAGGCAUGCAGACUGCAGAGCUGGUCGUCUACUAUGUAUAGAGACAUUUGUGUGUACCUAGUAGAUAAGGACCCUCCAUCACUAGAGGGAAGAAUGAGAGACUACAAAGAGGGAAAGGCAUUUAGUUAUUUUGCCAGUUUCUGGUUAGGGAGAUAUUUUUUUCAUCUCGUGGGAGAAAGCUGUCUGUAAUUCAAAAUCAUUUGAUACUUGAAUAAAUUUAGUUCAUUUUCUAGACUGUUUCAUGUCAAACCGUUGAUUCUACUUUCUUGUGAGUAUAGUCAGAGAGAUAGAGAAGUAACACGAGUAAA
rnacentral:lncRNA from 1 species